rnacentral:rRNA from 1 species
GUCGAGCGGUAGAGAGAAGCUUGCUUCUCUUGAGAGCGGCGGACGGGGGGGGUUUACCUAGGAAUCUGCCUGGUAGUGGGGGAUAACUUCGGAAACGGACGCUAAUACCGCAUACGUCCUACGGGAGAAAGCAGGGGACCUUCGGGCCUUGCGCUAUCAGAUGAGCCUAGGUCGGAUUAGCUUGUUGGUGAGGUAAUGGCUCACCAAGGCGACGAUCCGUAACUGGUCUGAGAGGAUGAUCAGUCACACUGGAACUGAGACACGGUCCAGACUCCUACGGGAGGCAGCAGUGGGGAAUAUUGGACAAUGGGCGAAAGCCUGAUCCAGCCAUGCCGCGUGUGUGAAGAAGGUCUUCGGAUUGUAAAGCACUUUAAGUUGGGAGGAAGGGCAUUAACCUAAUACGUUGGUGUCUUGACGUUCCCGACAGAAUAAGCACCGGCUAACUCUGUGCCAGCAGCCGCGGUAAUACAGAGGGUGCAAGCGUUAAUCGGAAUUACUGGGCGUAAAGCGCGCGUAGGUGGUUCGUUAAGUUGG